GGGAGGGCGUCACCGAGAGGGCGCCACAGGGAGGGCGUCUCUGUGGAGUCUCGCAUUUCCGGAUGUGGCAUGUCCACAUAAGCAAGAAGUGACAUGUUCCUGGGACUCCGUGGCGGGUUCGCCCACCCUGGUGAGCGGGAUGGAGUAGGAGAGCUGGUGCAGGGCCAGUCCACGUGGGCACGCUUCCAGACACUGCCACACCGCUUCUAGGAAGAUGCUGAGCAGCCCAAGACGGGCUGGAAGCAGAGGCCUCAGUCACUAAGACAGGGAGAGAGCCCGGUCACAGCCUCGCCUUGUGAGGGACUGGGGUCUCCUGGUGCUCAAAUGGGAUAUGACAGGCAUUCUGCUCCCUGUUCGUGGCUGCUGGCCCCUCCGUCUGGACCCCGUCUCGCAUGUAAGUGUCCAGGACAUGUUUGCCAGCAACGCCGAGAGCAAAGCCGCUAGUGAGCUUCCGGGGCCUUUCUGUGCGCGGCCUCCAGCAGAGGUCUCAUGUGCUCUGGUGGGGGACUCACUGAGCUGGGCCCCAAGCCCAUCGCCUUUGGCAGUUUUCUUUAAGAUGAGAAGCUCGGAAAUGUCCUUGCCUUCCCCAAAUGGUUUUCCUCCGUCCUCGUGUGCGAACCAGAGCGCCAGGAUUCUAGAAUUCCAGAAUUCCAGAGCUGGGAAUCUCUGGGGGCAUCCAGUUCAACCUCUUCUUUACAGUGACAGGUGUGAGUCCUGGAGAAGCAGAUUGCCCUUCCUGGGGUCCCAGGACAGGCUGGUGGUCAGGGCCUCUGCAUUGCUCCCGUGGACCCCAGCUCCCGUGGUCCAAGCACAAGUGUGCGACCCCCACGGAACAGCUCCUUUGAACAGAGCCCUUAGGGUUAGGACCGGGGAGGAAGAUGCAUUCUCAGGGGAGGCUAGUGGCCUCCCCCGCCUUCCUCCUGGGACCACGUGCAAGCGCUUUAAGCUCCCACUCCAGCCCCAGGGUGGCAAGCAGAGCCGGGGCCCCGAGGAGUCUUGGGUGAAGCUGGAUGUGGAAACUUGUGGCCCGCGUGGACUGAACCUGUUUCCAGAACUCAGAGCUGAAUAAAUA